rnacentral:lncRNA from 1 species
GUUAAAGGGAGCAGAGCGCGGGUCGGGGCGCAGAGCCGAGGGGGCGCGCUGUGUGCUAACUGGCCACCCGAGCGCCAAGGGGUGCUGUGCGGAGGCACUGGGGAGCACAGAGUGCGGUGUCCUACCGACGGACGGGCGCCCCUCAGAGGCUUGCCGAGAGGCAGAGAAACCUGAAAGAAAACCUAAGAUGCCCAGUUCAUCCUUCAGAUGACAGCUUUACAGCUCCACCCCCAGCACUGGGCCUUUCCUUCUCGGCUCUCAGUGUCAACACUGAGACCCCAGAUGUGUCCAGAGACACCCUGAAGAAGCUGAGGGGCAGGGGAGCCUUAGGGCACCCACAGGGAGAUUUCUGAAGCUGAUUCAGAGCCAGAGAAUUUGCCUACUAUUUGGUGAGUCUUCCAGAUAUAGGUUCCCCUUCCUCUGCCCUGUCAGUUAAAACUACUUUGCAAAGGAUUUCUAAGAAAACUGGUAACAGUGACUGCUCCGGGAAAGAGUCCUGGACCACUGGGAAUAGGGAGAUUUCGUCUUCACUGUAUGUACUGUGUAUACAUACUUACUAGAUUGAAACAUUUUUUUCACCAUAAUAAAAGUGUAUGCUCAAGCA